rnacentral:rRNA from 1 species
GUGGGGAAUUUUGGACAAUGGGCGCAAGCCUGAUCCAGCAAUGCCGCGUGCAGGAAGAAGGCCUUCGGGUUGUAAACUGCUUUUGUACGGAACGAAACGGUCCUGGUUAAUACCCGGGGCUAAUGACGGUACCGUAAGAAUAAGCACCGGCUAACUACGUGCCAGCAGCCGCGGUAAUACGUAGGGUGCAAGCGUUAAUCGGAAUUAUUGGGCGUAAAGCGUGCGCAGGCGGUGCUGUAAGACAGGCGUGAAAUCCCCGGGCUUAACCUGGGAAUUGCGCUUGUGACUGCAGUGCUGGAGUGCGGCAGAGGGGGAUGGAAUUCCGCGUGUAGCAGUGAAAUGCGUAGAUAUGCGGAGGAACACCGAUGGCGAAGGCAAUCCCCUGGGCCUGCACUGACGCUCAUGCACGAAAGCGUGGGGAGCAAACAGGAUUAGAAACCCCUGUAGUCC